rnacentral:lncRNA from 11 species
AGAACAUUCAGCAGAAAAUGCUUGAAGUAGCUAGCCACUCAUGAGACUAAUCCAAGGCUUUUCCACCCACACAUUUGUUGGCUCCAUGUUUUAAGGCCACCUUCCUUAAGGGAAUUCCUCUUGCUGUUCACCAAUCAUUUGGAAAUCAGACUGUAGCAAUUCAUUCCCUACAUGGAAGAGUUAGAAGAUUGCCUCCUAUUCAGGGAUUAGGCUCAAGUCUUUCAAGUGGCUCUUGUCUCCUCCCAUUUUGUCAUCCAUGGAGUGCCCAUUGUCGCAGCUAUCAAACUGAGGUUCCAAACAUUCAACCCCUUCUGUUGAAGCUGCACCUGUCGUCCAAGGAGAAAACCCCAAAACAAACUGUCUUUUAGUAAAGAAAGAUUUAUAUGAAAAUAUAUACAAACAUAACAGUCUUGGCUUUUAUCAGCAGCUUUCAACCAGCGAAACAAAAUGUUAUCUUCAAGCUUUCUUCAGCUCCACUCCAACAGCUUUCCAACAGCAACACCAUCACCUUCACAAUCACAUUCACAUUCAC